rnacentral:rRNA from 1 species
CGUGCUACAAUGGAUGGUACAAAGGGCUGCAAACCUGCGAAGGUAAGCGAAUCCCAUAAAGCCAUUCUCAGUUCGGAUUGCAGGCUGCAACUCGCCUGCAUGAAGCCGGAAUCGCUAGUAAUCGCGGAUCAGCAUGCCGCGGUGAAUACGUUCCCGGGCCUUGUACACACCGCCCGUCACACCACGAGAGGUUGUAACACCCGAAGUCGGUGAGGUAACCUUCAUGGAGCCAGCCGCCUAAGGUGGGACAGAUGAUUGGGGUGAAGUCGUAACAAGGUAGCCGUAUCGGAAGGUGCGGCUGGAUCACCUCCUUUCUA